GGAUCUGAAGGUGAUUUGGCUGCACUAUCUGCCACCUCUUUGUUCACCAGAGUUGAAACAGCUGAUCUGGUUGCCUAGACUGGUGUUUCCUUCCUCCCUCCUCGCACCCCUCCAGAACCUGAGCACUCGGUCAAGAGGACGACCUUCCCUUAUAGAAAAGAACCAGUCUUCUGUAAAGAAUAGAAGAAUAGAUGCACUUGCCUGCUAGAAAUUCCAGACAAUUUCUCAAGAUCCUUUUUUUUUCUUUUGCCUUUUUCUUUUUUCUUUUUGGAGACAGGGUCUCACUCUCUCACCCAGAUUGGAGUGCAGUGGCCCGAUCU
rnacentral:snRNA from 10 species